rnacentral:lncRNA from 1 species
UUCAUACGGCGGGAGUCAUUGGUCCAAAUCCAAUAGUAGGUAAAACUUAUUAGAUACCAGAGUCAAUGGUAUCUAAUAAGGUUUACGACCCACCCUUAGUGAUAUUGAUUUUUUGAUUUAUCCAAUAGUAGGUAAAACUUAUUAGAUACCAGAGUCAAUGGUAUCUAAUAAGGUUUACGACCCACCCUUAGUUAUAUUGAUUUUUUGAUUUUGUAUCUUUUCUAUUUCAUUUUUGAAUUUGAAUUUUUGCAUCAGAAUUGGAUUCUGUUUGAUUGUAUUUGAUUUUAUUCACCCUACAGAAUCUAAAUAGGAG